rnacentral:rRNA from 1 species
AGNACUGCGGAAGANAUUACCGAGUGAGGGCCCUCUGGGUCCAACCUCCCACCCGUGUCUAUCGUACCUUGUUGCUUCGGCGGGCCCGCCGUUUCGACGGCCGCCGGGGAGGCCUUGCGCCCCCGGGCCCGCGCCCGCCGAAGACCCCAACAUGAACGCUGUUCUGAAAGUAUGCAGUCUGAGUUGAUUAUCGUAAUCAGUUAAAACUUUCAACAACGGAUCUCUUGGUUCCGGCAUCGAUGAAGAACGCAGCGAAAUGCGAUAAGUAAUGUGAAUUGCAGAAUUCAGUGAAUCAUCGAGUCUUUGAACGCACAUUGCGCCCCCUGGUAUUCCGGGGGGCAUGCCUGUCCGAGCGUCAUUGCUGCCCUCAAGCACGGCUUGUGUGUUGGGCCCCCGUCCCCCUCUCCCGGGGGACGGGCCCGAAAGGCAGCGGCGGCACCGCGUCCGGUCCUCGAGCGUAUGGGGCUUUGUCACCUGCUCUGUAGGCCCGGCCGGCGCCAGCCGACACCCAACUUUAUUUUUCUAAGGUUGACCUCGGAUCAGGUAGGGAUACCCGCUGAACUUAAGCAUAUCAAUAAGCCGGAGGAA